GACGAACGCUGGCGGCGUGCUUAACACAUGCAAGUCGAACGGGCUCUGUCUGGCUGUGUGCUGGGUGGGGUUAGUGGCGAACGGGUGAGUAAUACGUGAGUAACCUGCCCUCUUCUUUGGGAUAAGCCUUGGAAACGGGGUCUAAUACUGGAUAUUCCUGUCUGGUCGCAUGGCUGGGUGGGGAAAGUUUUUUUCGGUGGGGGAUGGGCUCGCGGCCUAUCAGCUUGUUGGUGGGGUGAUGGCCUACCAAGGCGUCGACGGGUAGCCGGCCUGCGAGGGUGACCGGCCACACUGGGACUGAGAUACGGCCCAGACUCCUACGGGAGGCAGCAGUGGGGGAUAUUGCACAAUGGGCGCAAGCCUGAUGCAGCGACGCCGCGUGGGGGAUGACGGCUUUCGGGUUGUAAACCUCUUUCGUCGGGGGACAAGGCUCUGCUUGGUGGUGGGGUUGAGGGUACCCGGUGAAGAAGCGCCGGCUAACUACGUG
rnacentral:rRNA from 1 species